UACGUAGGGGGCAAGCGUUGUCCGGAAUUACUGGGUGUAAAGGGCGUGUAGGCGACCCCUUAAGUUGAAUGUGAAAUCUCCCGGCUCAACUGGGAGGAGUCAUUCAAUACUGAGGGGAUAUGAGGACAGAAGAGGGAAGUGGAAUUCCCGGUGUAGCGGUAAAAUGCGCAGAUAUCGGGAAGAACACCAGUGGCGAAGGCGGCUUCCUGGGUUGCUACUGACGCUGAGGUGCGAAAGCUAGGGGAGCAAACAGGAUUAGAUACCCCCGUAGUCC
rnacentral:rRNA from 1 species